rnacentral:rRNA from 1 species
AACGAACGCUGGCGGCAGGCUUAACACAUGCAAGUCGAACGCCCCGCAAGGGGAGUGGCCGACGGGUGAGUAACGCGUGGGAACAUACCCUUUCCUGCGGAAUAGCUCCGGGAAACUGGAAUUAAUACCGCAUACGCCCUACGGGGGAAAGAUUUAUCGGGGAAGGAUUGGCCCGCGUUGGAUUAGCUAGUUGGUGGGGUAAAGGCCUACCAAGGCGAUGAUCCAUAGCUGGUCUGAGAGGAUGAUCAGCCACAUUGGGACUGAGACACGGCCCAAACUCCUACGGGAGGCAGCAGUGGGGAAUAUUGGACAAUGGGCGCAAGCCUGAUCCAGCCAUGCCGCGCGAGUGAUGAAGGCCUUAGGGUUGUAAAGCUCUUUCACCGAUGAAGAUAAUGACGGUAGUCGGAGAAGAAGCCCCGGCUAACUUCGUG